GUGCACCAGGCGAGAAAAACUUCACACUGUGCGAAAGCACGAUGAGGGAAUCCCAAGUGCUUGCACGUAAGUGUAAGCUGUUUCUCUGUUUAAAACGCAGAGAGAGUAAGGGCUGGGUAAGACGGGUGCCAGCCGCCGCGGUAAUACCUGCAGCUCAAGUGGUGACCGUUAUUAUUGGGCCUAAAAACGUCCGUAGCCGGUUUAAUAAAUGCCUGGGUAAAUCGUGUAGCUUAACUAUACGAAUUCCGGGUAGACUGUUAAACUCGAGACCGGGAGAAGUUAGAGGUACUCCUGGGGUAGAGGUGAAAUUCUGUAAUCCUAGGGGACCACCAGUGGCGAAGGCGCCUAACUAGAACGGGUCUGACGGUGAGGGACGAAGCCCUGGGGCGCGAAACGGGAUUAGAUACCCCUGUAGUCCCUGAA
rnacentral:rRNA from 1 species